rnacentral:rRNA from 1 species
UACGUAGGUGGCGAGCGUUGUCCGGAUUUACUGGGCGUAAAGAGCGCGCAGGCGGUCGUACAAGUCGCGUGUGAAAGCCCCCGGCUCAACUGGGGAGGGUCACGCGAUACUGUUCGACUCGAAGGCAGGAGAGGGAAGUGGAAUUCCCGGUGUAGUGGUGAAAUGCGUAGAUAUCUGGAGGAACACCGGUGGCGAAGGCGGCAUCCUGGACCAACACUGACGCUGAGGAGCGAAAGCCAGGGGAGCAAACGGG